GGGGCUGUAGCUCAGAGGUAGAGCAUCUCCUUUGCAUGUGGAAGGUCCCACGUUUAAUCCCUGCUGGCAUCU